rnacentral:rRNA from 1 species
UACGUAGGGUGCGAGCGUUACUCGGAAUUACUGGGCGUAAAGCGUGCGCAGGCGGUUUUGUAAGACAGAGGUGAAAUCCCCGGGCUUAACCUGGGAACUGCCUUUGUGACUGCAAGGCUUGAGUGCGGCAGAGGGGGAUGGAAUUCCGCGUGUAGCAGUGAAAUGCGUAGAUAUGCGGAGGAACACCGAUGGCGAAGGCAAUCCCCUGGGCCUGCACUGACGCUCAUGCACGAAAGCGUGGGGAGCAAACAGG